GUGGGGAAUCUUCCGCAAUGGACGAAAGUCUGACGGAGCAACGCCGCGUGAGUGAAGAAGGUUUUCGGAUCGUAAAGCUCUUUCGUUAGGGACGAACGUGCUCUUUGUGAAUAAUGAGGAGUAAUGACGGUACCUAAAUAAGAAGCCACGGCUAACUACGUGCCAGCAGCCGCGGUAAUACGUAGGUGGCAAGCGUUGUCCGGAAUUAUUGGGCGUAAAGCGCGCGCAGGCGGGAUAUCAAGUCUGUCUUAAAAGUGCGAGGCUCAACCUCGUGAGGGGACAGAAACUGGGAUUCUUGAGUGUCGGAGAGGAAAGUGGAAUUCCAAGUGUAGCGGUGAAAUGCGUAGAGAUUUGGAAGAACACCAGUGGCGAAGGCGACUUUCUGGACGAUGUCUGACGCUGAGGCGCGAAAGCUAGGGGAGCGAACGGGAUUAGAAACCCUGGUAGUCC
rnacentral:rRNA from 1 species